ACCGUGCGAAGGUAGCGUAAUCACUUGUUCUUUAAAUAAGGACUAGUAUGAAUGGCACCACGAGGGUUAUGCUGUCUCCUUUUUCUAAUCGAUGAAACUGAUCUGCCCGUGAAGAAGCGAGCAUAAAGAUAUAAGACGAGAAGACCCUAUGGAGCUUUAAACUAUUAUAGCACCGGCUUAUCCUUUUCUAUGUUUCAGAACAAUAAUGUCCAAUCUAGCCUUAAUGACUAUUAGUUUUAGGUUGGGGUGACCGCGGAGUAAAAAUUAACCUCCACACUGAAGGGAUAUAGGACCUGAGCCUAGAGCUACAACUCCAAGCACCAAUAAACUGACACUCAUUGACCCAAUAUAUUGAUCAACGAACCAAGUUACCCUAGGGAUAACAGCGCAAUCCACUUCAAGAGCCCCUAUCGACAAGUGGGUUUACGACCUCGAUGUUGGAUCAGGGUAUCCUAGCGGUGCAGCCGCUGCUAAAGGUUCGUUUGUUCAACGAUUAAAACCCU
rnacentral:rRNA from 1 species